rnacentral:rRNA from 1 species
GCUAAGGUAGCAUAAUCACUUGUCACUUAAUUGGUGACUGGAAUGAAAGGUUAAACUAACUUAUUAAGUUUGUAGAGCUAAAUAUAAAUUUAAAGUUAAGGUAAGAAUUCUUUAAUAUUCUAGGGGACGAUAAGACCCUAGAAGCUUAACAAGUAGUUGUUUUGUGCUAUAAAUUUGUUUGUUUUACUGGGGCGGUAAGAAUAAUUAAGCUAUUCGUUGUUUAAGAGAUCCUUAAAAUAAAGAAAAAAUGGAGAAGUUACUCUAGGGAUAA